rnacentral:lncRNA from 1 species
AUUACUCAACACUUAUCUCAGCUUUUCAUGAAAAGCAGUCCUUUUUAUACAAUUACCCUGGACCCAUUCUCAAUUAAGACUGCCCACCCUGAAGAGUACUACAGCAAUUCACACCCUGGGAAGUAUUAACUACAUGGAAAGCAUCUUCUCUGGCAUGUUGUCAGCCUUAAUAAUGGGUGGAAUUCCUUGCAUCCUUUGGGGAGAGUUGCCCCUUUUGUACCAUCUUUGACAAUAAAUGUGCUCCUUUUUAAAGAAACAUUCAUCCCGCUUUGUAAACUAUUCAAAAUUAUAGCAUUAUUGGCUCUCCACCGCAUUGUGUUCAUGGUUAGACCUUGCUACCUCCUCCAGAUAACAAUCACUCCUAACAUUCUCCAUUAUGUGUGGCAGCUCAUCCAGUCAUGGCUGUCACUAUGAGGAGGCAACAAUGCAUCAGCCGAGACAGAGGACUACUGCUCCCAUGGUUACCUCCACCCUCACGACCACCACCACCACCAGCUCCCUAAUUUAUGAACAGUGUUUCAGAUCCGUUACCUCAGCAGCUUCAGUUCUGGAAACCUACUUCACAUUAUUAACUAGCUUAUAAUCAGAAGGGACUUCCCCUGGCUCAGGUGAGACUUUGGACUUGUACUUUAAUGCUGGAAUGAGUGAAGACUUUGGGACACUGUUGGAAAGGUAUGAUUGGUUUUGAAAUGUGAAAGGGGCAUGAGAUUUGGGAGGGGCCAGGGGUAGAAUGAUAUGGUUUGACUGUGACCCCAUCCAAAAUCUCUUCUUGAACUAUAAUCCCCAUAAUCCCCAUGUGUCAAGGGUGGGACCAGAGGGAGGUAAUUGGAUCAUGAGGCAGUUUUCCCCAUGCUGUUCUCAUAAUAGUGAAUGAGUCUCAUGAGAUCUAGUUUUAUAAAUGUCUGGCAUUUCCGCUGCUUGCACUCACUCUGUCCUGCCACUCUAUGUAGAAGGUGCCUGCUUUUCUUUUGCCUUCCACUAUGAUUGUAAGUUUUCUGUGGCCUACCCAGCCAUGUGGAACUGUUAGUCAACUAAACCUCUUUCCGUUAUAAAUUACCUAGUCUCAGGUAUUUCUUUAUAGCAGCAUGAGAACAGACUAAUACACAUAUCCGUGCUGCACUUCACACAUUUAUACCACCAAAUUGUUCUUUGCUAAUAUUUAUCAUGAUGGGCCAAAGUGGAACUGCUGCAAUUGGCCAUUUGAUAUCUAAGUCAUGCAAGGUACAAGUAGACAAAUGUGAUAUUGCCAUGGAAAGCACAAAAAAAUAGACUUACCAACCACAAAAUAUUAGAAGCAUCUCCCAUCCAAUUGGUAUUGUUUAAUAUAUUUGAAGACUAUAUUCCUUUAAAAAAUAAAAGCUAUGAAAUGAAAUAAAUCAUAACUGUUCUCUGGCUAGCAUAAUCAAGAGACAAAUCAAUUUUUUUUCACCCACUAUCAGUCUGGUUUAUCCAAAUAAACAAAAGGAAUAGAAGACACACACACACACAUAAACAC